GAUGAACGCUGGCGGCGUGCCUAAUACAUGCGAGUCGAGCGAACAGACGAGGAGCUUGCUCCUCUGACGUUAGCGGCGGACGGGUGAGUAACACGUGGAUAACCUACCUAUAAGACUGGGAUAACUUCGGGAAACCGGAGCUAAUACCGGAUAACAUGUUGAACCGCAUGGUUCAACAGUGAAAGACGGUCUUGCUGUCACUUAUAGAUGGAUCCGCGCCGCAUUAGCUAGUUGGUAAGGUAACGGCUUACCAAGGCAACGAUGCGUAGCCGACCUGAGAGGGUGAUCGGCCACACUGGAACUGAGACACGGUCCAGACUCCUACGGGAGGCAGCAGUAGGGAAUCUUCCGCAAUGGGCGAAAGCCUGACGGAGCAACGCCGCGUGAGUGAAGAAGGUCUUCGGAUCGUAAAACUCUGUUAUUAGGGAAGAACAAAUGUGUAAGUAACUAUGCACGUCUUGACGGUACCUAAUCGGAAAGCCACGGCUAACUACGUG
rnacentral:rRNA from 1 species